AGUGAACGCUGGCGGUAGGCCUAACACAUGCAAGUCGAACGGCAGCACAGUAAGAGCUUGCUCUUACGGGUGGCGAGUGGCGGACGGGUGAGGAAUACAUCGGAAUCUACUUUUUCGUGGGGGAUAACGUAGGGAAACUUACGCUAAUACCGCAUACGACCUACGGGUGAAAGCAGGGGAUCUUCGGACCUUGCGCGAUUGAAUGAGCCGAUGUCGGAUUAGCUAGUUGGCGGGGUAAAGGCCCACCAAGGCGACGAUCCGUAGCUGAUCUGAGAGGAUGAUCAGCCACACUGGAACUGAGACACGGUCCAGACUCCUACGGGAGGCGGCAGUGGGGAAUAUUGGACAAUGGGCGCAAGCCUGAUCCAGCCAUACCGCGUGGGUGAAGAAGGCCUUCGGGUUGUAAAGCCCUUUUGUUGGGAAAGAAAAGCAGCAGGUUAAUACCCCGCUGUUCUGACGGUACCCAAAGAAUAAGCACCGGCUAACUUCGUG
rnacentral:rRNA from 1 species